UGAAUACGAGAUGCUACGGCGUCGAAGCAGUCUAUGUCAUACUUCCAAGAAAAGCUUGCACUGUCAUAAACAAAUAAUGCCUGUACCAUAACCGACACAGGUGGGUAGGUAGAGUAUACUAAGGGGCGCGAGAUAACUCUCUCUAAGGAACUCGGCAAAAUGACUCCGUAACUUCGGGAGAAGGAGUGCCUUAUUUAUAAGGUUGCAAUAACAAGACCCAAGCAACUGUUUAUCAAAAACACAGGUCUCCGCUAAGUCGUAAGACGAUGUAUGGGGGCUGACGCCUGCCCAGUGCCAGAAGGUUAAAGAAGUUGGUUAGCAUUAGCGAAGCUGAUGACUGAAGCCCUGGUGAACGGCGGCCGUAACUAUAACGGUCCUAAGGUAGCGAAAUUCCUUGUCGGGUAAGUUCCGACCCGCACGAAAGGCGUAAUGAUUUGGGUACUGUCUCAGAGAGGGACUCGGUGAAAUAGACUUGUCUGUGAAGAUGCGGACUACCUGCACCUGGACAGAAAGACCCUAUGAAGCUUUACUGUAACCUGAAAUUGAAAUUGGACUUUAUUUGCGCAGUAUAGGUGGGAGGCUUUGAAGAUAUUCUUGCGGGAAUGUUGGAGCCAUCAGUGAGAUACCACUCUUGUAAUGUUAGAUUUCUAACUUUGUAUCAUUAUCUGGUCAAAGAACAGUUUCAGGCGGCAGUUUGACUGGGGCGGUCGCCUCCUAAACGGUAACGGAGGCGCACAAAGGUUUCCUCUGAACGGGUAGAAAUCGUAUCUAGAGUGUAAAGGCAUAAGGAAGCUUGACUGUGAGACCUACAAGUCGAGCAGGGACGAAAGUCGGUCUUAGUGAUCUGACGGUGCUGAGUGGAAAGGCCGUCACUCAACGGAUAAAAGUUACUCUAGGAUAACAGGCUGAUCUCCCCCAAGAGUUCACAUCGACGGGGAGGUUUGGCACCUCGAUGUCGGCUCAUCGCAUCCUGGGGCGGUAGUACGUCCCAAGGGUUGGGCUGUUCGCCCAUGAAAGCGGUACGCGAGCUGGGUUCAGAACGUCGUGAGACAGUUCGGUCCAUAUCCGGUGUAGGCGUUAAAUAUUGAGAGGAGCCUUCUCUAGUACGAGAGGACCGAGAAGGACACACCUCUGGUGUACCAGUUAUCGUGCCAACGGUAAACGCUGGGUAGCUAUGUGUGGAGCGGAUAACCGCUGAAAGCAUCUAAGUGGGAAGCCCACCUCAAGAUAAGUAUCCUC
rnacentral:rRNA from 1 species